rnacentral:rRNA from 1 species
UCNNAUUGAACGCUGGCGGCAGGCNUAACACANGCAAGUCGAGCGGAAACGAGAAUAGCUUGCUAUUCGGCGUCNANCGGCGGACGGGUGAGUAAUGCUUGGGAAUAUGCCUUAUGGUGGGGGACAACANUUGGAAACGACUGUUAAUACCGCAUAACGUCUACGGACCAAAGGGGGGGAUCUUCGGACCUCUCGCCAUUUGAUUAGCCCAAGUGAGAUUAGCUAGUUGGUAGGUAAGAGCUUACCAAGGCGACGAUCUCUAGCUGGUUUGAGAGGAUGAUCAGCCACACUGGGACUGAGACACGGCCCAGACUCCUACGGGAGGCAGCAGAGGGGAAUAUUGCACAAUGGGGGAAACCCUGAUGCAGCCAUGCCGCGUGUGUGAAGAAGGCCUUCGGGUUGUAAAGCACUUUCAGUCGUGAGGAAAGGGGUGUAGUUAAUAACUGCAUCCUGUGACGUUAGCGACAGAAGAAGCACCGGCUAACUCCGUGCCAGCAGCCGCGGUAAUACGGAGGGUGCAAGCGUUAAUCGGAAUUACUGGGCGUAAAGCGUGCGUAGGCGGAUUAUUAAGUCAGAUGUGAAAUCCCGGGGCUCAACCUCGGAACUGCAUUUGAAACUGGUAGUCUAGAGUAUUGUAGAGGGUGGUGGAAUUUCCAGUGUAGCGGUGAAAUGCGUAGAGAUUGGAAGGAACAUCAGUGGCGAAGGCGGCCACCUGGACAAAUACUGACGCUGAGGCACGAAAGCGUGGGGAGCGAACAGGAUUAGAUACCCUGGUAGUCCACGCCGUAAACGAUGUCAACUAGCUGUCUGUGGACUUGAUCUGUGGGUAGCGUAGCUAACGCGCUAAGUUGACCGCCUGGGGAGUACGGCCGCAAGGUUAAAACUCAAAUGAAUUGACGGGGGCCCGCACAAGCGGUGGAGCAUGUGGUUUAAUUCGAUGCAACGCGAAGAACCUUACCAUCCCUUGACAUCCAGAGAAUUAAUCAGAGAUGAUUUUGUGCCUUCGGGAACUCUGAGACAGGUGCUGCAUGGCUGUCGUCAGCUCGUGUUGUGAAAUGUUGGGUUAU